rnacentral:rRNA from 1 species
AGAGUUUGAUCAUGGCUCAGGGCUAACGCUGGCGGCGUGUCUUAGCCAUGCAAGUCGAGCGGACUUAUGGGGUAACUUAUAAGUCAGCGGCGGACGGCGGAGUAACACGUAGCUAACCUACCCUCUGGACGGGGAUAACCUACCGAAAGGUGGGCUAAUACCCGAUGUAGUCAUCCUGUAUAGGGGUGAUGAAAGGUGGGCUUCUGUUUACAAGCUCAUGCUGGAGGAGGGGGCUGCGGCCUAUCAGGUAGUUGGUAGGGUAAUAGCCUACCAAGCCGAUGACGGGUAGCCGGCCUGAGAGGGUGACCGGCCCGAGGGGCACUGAGAUACGGGUCCCACUCCUACGGGAGGCAGCAGGCUAGAAAUUUGGGCAAUGGGGGAAACCCUGACCCAGUGACGCCGCGUGCAGGAAGGAGCCCUUCGGGGUGUAAACUGCUGUCGUGUAGGGAGAAGGGUACUAAGGUGAACAAUCUUAGUACUUGACGGUACUACAGGAGGAAGCCCAGGCUAACCUCGUGCCAGCAGCCGCGGUAAUACGGGGUGGGCGAGCGUUGCCCGGAAUUACUGGGUUUAAAGGGGGUGUAGGCGGUCUGGAUAGUCAGGUGUGUAAUGCAAUCGCUCAACGAUUGAGCUGCAUCUGAUACUUCCAGGCUAGAGGGCGGUAGAGGAGAGCGGAACUCCCGGUGUAGCGGUGGAAUGCGUAGAUAUCGGGAGGAACGCCGGUGGCGAAGGCGGCUCUCUGGGCCGUUCCUGACGCUGAGGCCCGAAAGCUGGGGGAGCGAAAGGGAUUAGAUACCCCUGUAGUCCCAGCCGUAAACGAUGGGCACUAGGUGUACCUUUUAACGGAGGUAUACCGUCGGGAAACCAAUAAGUGCCCCACCUGGGGAGUACGCCCGCAAGGGUGAAACUCAAAUGAAUUGACGG